GCCAAGGGCAGAUUAGCAUUAGGGAAGUUUUGCUAAAUGGAGAGUCACAUUAAUAUGUAAGAAACUGGAAGACUAUAGGCCCUGGAGCAAAACAGGAGAUCCUCAAGUACCGUGGAACAAUGGAAGAGUGUUCAUAGUGGAUUUGAACAUGAGCUGCCAGCAAGCUGGAUGAAUGGUGUGACUGUCACAUCCAUUGAAUGUUCUGGAGCUUUCCUGACAAGGUCUUAACUUUCUGCCAGUACAGACUGAUUUUGUUUUGAAAUUUUUUGAGACAUUGUCUCUAAGCUGUAUCCGCAACUGAAGUGAUUGUGAGGGCUAAUGUAACUCUUUGUUCCAAACACAGCUCUCUUUUUUUUUUUCCCCUCCUUUUGGCAAGUAUGAACAUAUUUAAGUUUCAGAAAGCCUUGAAGUAAUUGUUACAGCUGUAUUUCACCAAUGGAUUGCAUGGACUGC
rnacentral:lncRNA from 1 species